CGUCUAUAUACGUAUAGCAUAUCAAUAAGCGGAGGAAAAGAAACUAACUAGGAUUCCCUCAGUAACGGCGAGUGAAGCGGGAAGAGCUCAAAUUUGAAAUCUUCAAGGUUCUACCUUGACGAAUUGUAGUUUAAAGAAGUGUUUUCUGUUGGAGUUUUGGUAAAAGUUCUUUGGAAUAGGACAUCAUAGAGGGUGAGAAUCCCGUAUUUGACCAUUAUUUCCAACUUUGUGAUACACUUUCAAAGAGUCGGAUUGUUUGGGAAUGCAGUCCAAAAUGGGUGGUAAAUUUCAUCUAAAGCUAAAUAGCUGGCGAGAGACCGAUAGCGAACAAGUACCGUGAGGGAAAGAUGAAAAGAACUUUGAAAAGAGAGUUAAACAGUACGUGAAAUUGUCAAAAGGGAAGCGUUUGACACCAGUGUUGUUUUCUCGAAAAUCAAUUAAAAAUGAUUGGAUUUUGUGUUGUAUUGACUUUAUCAGCUUUCUGCACUCUUUUCUUGUCUUUUUUAAUGCACUUUUCGUUUAACAAGUCAACAUCAAUUUCUUUUGUUGUAAAAGAGUCAUUGGAAGGUGGCUUUCUUUUCGGAGAAAGUGUUUAUAGCCUUUGACUUCUGCAAUCGGAGAGAUUGAGGUCUGCAGCGUAGAUCCUUCGGGGUUAGAUAGCAUUUGUGCUAAGUUAUAGCCUUUCAUAGACAACUUGUUGACUAUGAUCAGUCAUGUAGCUUACUCGCUUAUGCUAUUUUACCUACGCUUAGGAUGUUGACGAUCAGCUGAGCGCG
rnacentral:rRNA from 1 species